UAGGGAAUCUUCCGCAAUGGGCGAAAGCCUGACGGAGCAACGCCGCGUGAGUGAUGAAGGUCUUCGGAUCGUAAAACUCUGUUAUUAGGGAAGAACAAAUGUGUAAGUAACUAUGCACGUCUUGACGGUACCUAAUCAGAAAGCCACGGCUAACUACGUGCCAGCAGCCGCGGUAAUACGUAGGUGGCAAGCGUUAUCCGGAAUUAUUGGGCGUAAAGCGCGCGUAGGCGGUUUUUUAAGUCUGAUGUGAAAGCCCACGGCUGAACCGUGGAGGGUCAUUGGAAACUGGAAAACUUGAGUGCAGAAGAGGAAAGUGGAAUUCCAUGUGUAGCGGUGAAAUGCGCAGAGAUAUGGAGGAACACCAGUGGCGAAGGCGACUUUCUGGUCUGUAACUGACGCUGAUGAGCGAAAGCGUGGGGAUCAAACAGG
rnacentral:rRNA from 1 species